rnacentral:rRNA from 1 species
GUCGAACGGUAACAGGGAGCUUGCUCCGCUGACGAGUGGCGAACGGGUGAGUAAUAUAUCGGAACGUACCCAAGAGUGGGGGAUAACGUAGCGAAAGUUACGCUAAUACCGCAUACGAUCUAAGGAUGAAAGCAGGGGACCGCAAGGCCUUGUGCUCCUGGAGCGGCCGAUAUCUGAUUAGCUAGUUGGUAGGGUAAAGGCCUACCAAGGCAUCGAUCAGUAGCUGGUCUGAGAGGACGACCAGCCACACUGGAACUGAGACACGGUCCAGACUCCUACGGGAGGCAGCAGUGGGGAAUUUUGGACAAUGGGCGCAAGCCUGAUCCAGCAAUGCCGCGUGAGUGAAGAAGGCCUUCGGGUUGUAAAGCUCUUUUGUCAGGGAAGAAACGGGCGAGGCUAAUAUCCUCGUCUAAUGACGGUACCUGAAGAA